AACGCGAAGAACCUUACCAAGGUUUGACAUGGCCGGAAAACUCAUGGAGACAUGGGGUCCUUCGGGGCCGGUCACAGGUGGUGCAUGGCUGUCGUCAGCUCGUGUCGUGAGAUGUUGGGUUAAGUCCCGCAACGAGCGCAACCCUCGUCCCAUGUUGCCAGCGGGUUAUGCCGGGGACUCAUGGGAGACUGCCGGGGUCAACUCGGAGGAAGGUGGGGAUGACGUCAAGUCAUCAUGCCCCUUAUGUCUUGGGCUGCAAACAUGCUACAAUGGCCGGUACAAAGGGCUGCGAGCCUGUGAGGGUGAGCGAAUCCCGGAAAGCCGGUCUCAGUUCGGAUCGGGGUCUGCAACUCGACCCCGUGAAGUCGGAGUCGCUAGUAAUCGCGGAUCAGCAACGCCGCGGUGAAUACGUUCCCGGGCCUUGUACACACCGCAUAC
rnacentral:rRNA from 1 species